rnacentral:lncRNA from 1 species
GUUUGAUUUUUACAUCUAAAUGUAUAAAAUUAUCUUUAUUAAAAAAUUAAUAAGCAUAAAAUUCAAAUGAAAUACUAGCUAAUUUAAUAUUCUAUCAAUAAAAUAUAUAGUUUUUUAAAAUAUGAUAGUUGGUGGUGACGGUUAACGGGUAAAUGCCGACUAGAGACAGUGGUUGGUGGUAGUUUUGGCUGAUGAUGGUGGUUCAUGCUACUAGCUAAUAAUGAUUGAUAGUGGUGACGAUUGUGAUUGAGGAUAAUGGUGAUAGUUAAUACUUGCGGGUGAUGGUAGUAGUCGUGACUGAGGAAAGUGGUAGGUGGGUGGUGGUAGGUUAUAAUGAUGGGCAAUGCUGGUUGUGGUUGUUGAUAAUGAUGGGGUGGUCAAUUGUGGUAAUUGAGGUGGAUGAGUGUUGAUUGUGAGUGAGAAUGAUGGUGGUCGGAGUGCUAGGGAUAGUGUGUGGUGAUGGUCGAUAACGGUGGCGGCUAUGAUUGAGAAUGAUCGUGGCGUUAUGGUGUUGGAGGUAGUGGCGGUUUAGUAUGGUGGUGGUAGUGACAUGGAAGUAGUUGAUAAUGGUAGGCGAUGGCAGCAGUUAAUAAAGAAUAUGUGAUAGCAUCUAAAUAAAAUUAAGUCUUUGUUAAAGAUCUUAAUAAUACAAACCUAUUCAAACCCAUUACGUGUUGUGAAGUAAAAAAAAACAAACACAUUUAAUGAUUAAGAUCUGAAUAAUUAAGAUUCAGACUUUAAAAACAAACGCACUUAAUAUCUGAGAUCUGAAUGAUUAAGAUUCAGGCCUCCAUUAAGUGCAAUCAAAUGACGCGUUAAUGGAACAAGAAAAAUUAUGUUAUAUAAAUAACUUGUAUAACCCCAAUUUAAGUUACACUAAUAGUGUAAACAACUAUAGAUAUGAUUUUAAUCCUUAUUUCACAGGACAGCCAGCAAACGCGAAUUAAGUGUAGUCAUUUACUGUUUGAGAUCUGAAUGAUUAAGAUUUAAUGAGGC